AAAUAGAGGCGCAUUGUGCAAAUAAUUCUUACAGAGCUUACGGAAGCGUAGAAGUAUGGACGGGUGCACGAUGCCGAAGCAGAACUUUAUCCGUAUUUUUGUUCUGCUGGGCGCAUAGAUAACAUCCAUGCGUCUGUCACAAAAGUGUGGAGAGCUAUUA
rnacentral:ncRNA from 1 species